UGGGGAAUCUUGGACAAUGGGCGCAAGCCUGAUCCAGCCAUGCCGCGUGAGUGAAGAAGGCCCUAGGGUCGUAAAGCUCUUUCGCCUGUGAAGAUAAUGACGGUAGCAGGUAAAGAAACCCCGGCUAACUCCGUGCCAGCAGCCGCGGUAAUACGGAGGGGGUUAGCGUUGUUCGGAAUUACUGGGCGUAAAGCGCGCGUAGGCGGAUUGGAAAGUUGGGGGUGAAAUCCCGGGGCUCAACCCCGGAACUGCCUCCAAAACUAUCAAUCUAGAGUUCGAGAGAGGUGAGUGGAAUUGCGAGUGUAGAGGUGAAAUUCGUAGAUAUUCGCAGGAACACCAGUGGCGAAGGCGGCUCACUGGCUCGAUACUGACGCUGAGGUGCGAAAGUGUGGGGAGCAAACA
rnacentral:rRNA from 1 species